CCGUACCCAUCUCGAACACGGAAGUUAAGCUCUUUAGCGUCGAUGGUACUGCAUGGGAGACUGUGUGGGAGAGUAGAACGCCGCCGGUU
rnacentral:rRNA from 1 species